rnacentral:rRNA from 1 species
AGAGUUUGAUCCUGGCUCAGAGCGAACGCUGGCGGCAGGCUUAACACAUGCAAGUCGAACGCCCUAGCAAUAGGGAGUGGCAGACGGGUGAGUAACGCGUGGGAACGUACCCUUUGGUUCGGAACAACUCAGGGAAACUUGAGCUAAUACCGGAUAAGUCCGUAAGGAGAAAGAUUUAUCGCCAAAGGAUCGGCCCGCGUUGGAUUAGCUAGUUGGUGGGGUAAUGGCCUACCAAGGCAACGAUCCAUAGCUGGUCUGAGAGGAUGAUCAGCCACACUGGGACUGAGACACGGCCCAGACUCCUACGGGAGGCAGCAGUGGGGAAUCUUGGACAAUGGGGGAAACCCUGAUCCAGCCAUGCCGCGUGAAUGAUGAAGGCCUUAGGGUUGUAAAGUUCUUUCGUUGGGGACGAUAAUGACGGUACCCAAAGAAGAAGCUCCGGCUAACUUCGUGCCAGCAGCCGCGGUAAUACGAAGGGGGCUAGCGUUGCUCGGAAUUACUGGGCGUAAAGCGCAUGUAGGCGGGUCGUUAAGUCGAGGGUGAAAUCCCAGAGCUCAACUCUGGAACUGCCUUCGAAACUGGCGGCCUAGAGAAUGGAAGAGGCGAGUGGAAUUCCGAGUGUAGAGGUGAAAUUCGUAGAUAUUCGGAGGAACACCAGUGGCGAAGGCGACUCGCUGGUCCAUUUCUGACGCUGAGAUGCGAAAGCGUGGGUAGCAAACAGGAUUAGAUACCCUGGUAGUCCACGCCGUAAACGAUGAGAGCUAGUUGUCGGCAAGCAUGCUUGUCGGUGACACAGCUAA